rnacentral:lncRNA from 1 species
UAUUAAGUAUUUAUUUGUUAGAGAGAAAAUAGCUGAGUCUUAUAUUUGUAUUGAGCAUAUUUCGACAUAUCAUAUAUUAGUUGAUCCACCAACUAAAGUUUAGCUCCUAAAUUGUUUCAAGAGCAUAUGACUCAUUUGAGAUUGUUAGAGUCUUAUGUUGUAUUUAGUUAGUCGGAGUUCUGUAAUUAUUGCUAUUUUAACAUAUUAUUUAUGCUCAUAUGCUGUUUUGUCAUUAAAAUAUAGUAAUGUAAAUGAAUGCCUGAGUCACGAACAUUCUGGACAAAGCGUGUUUUAUGUAUUAGACAUUUUGAUUAGUCUUGUACCUGGGUCACGCGCAUUUUGGACAAGGCAAUGUUCAUAUAUAUUGAGACAUUUUGACCAGUCUCAUGUCUGAGUCACGCACAUUUUGGACAAGGCAUACUUUAUGUAUUGAGACAUUUUGAUUAGUCUCGUGCAUGGGUCACGUGCAUUUUGAAUAAGACAAUGUUUAUAUAUAUUGAGACAGUUUGAUUAGUCUCGUGCUUGAGUCACGUGCAUUUUGGACAAGGUGUACUUUAUGUAUUGAGACAUUUUGAUUAGUCUCGUACCUGAGUCACGCACAUUUUGGACAAGGCAAUAUUCAUAUAUAUAUUCAGACAUUUUGAUUGGUCUCAUGCUUGAGUCACGUGCAUUAUGGACAAGGCGUACUGUAUGUAUUGAGACAUUUUGAUCAGCCUCGUGCCUGAAUCAAACACAUUUUGGAUAAGGCAAUGAUUAUAUGUGUUGAGACGUUUUGGUUAGUCUCAUGCCUGAGUCACGCACGUUGUGAACAAGGCAUAUUAUCUAUAAGAGACAAUAUGUUUUAGUCGAUGUCUAAGCCUGGCAGUUGUAAGUAUAUGUUUAGUGUCAUAUACCCUGCUAGUAUGGUCAUUAGGCUAUGUGCUACAACUGUAUUUGGGACAAAGCUUAUCAUUUUUUAAAGACUUUUAGAUUUGUCUCUAAGGCUUCUUAUGGAAACGGGUGUUUAUCACUCUUUUGAUAUUUUCCGUACUGCUUCUACAUCUCAUUAGCCUAUUUUACAUGAUUACAAGUAUUGGUCAUGUGUUGUAUAUCGUGUCAGUAUAUCAUUCACUGGUUUGAACUUGUAAACACAUUUUGAACAAGGUUUUUUGAUUUUGAGAUGCUUGUUUGUGUUUAUGUAAUGAUUAAAUGAAGGGAAAAUUUCAUAAUUCAGGUGUAUUGUUUACACCAAUUCACAAAUUAG